rnacentral:rRNA from 1 species
GUGGGGAAUCUUGCGCAAUGGGCGAAAGCCUGACGCAGCCAUGCCGCGUGAAUGAUGAAGGUCUUAGGAUUGUAAAAUUCUUUCACCGGGGACGAUAAUGACGGUACCCGGAGAAGAAGCCCCGGCUAACUUCGUGCCAGCAGCCGCGGUAAUACGAAGGGGGCUAGCGUUGCUCGGAAUUACUGGGCGUAAAGGGCGCGUAGGCGGACAGUUUAGUCAGAGGUGAAAGCCCAGGGCUCAACCUUGGGAGUGCCUUUGAUACUGGCUGUCUUGAGUACGGGAGAGGUGAGUGGAACUCCGAGUGUAGAGGUGAAAUUCGUAGAUAUUCGGAAGAACACCAGUGGCGAAGGCGACUCACUGGCCCGUUACUGACGCUGAGGCGCGAAAGCGUGGGGAGCAAACAGGAUUAGAAACCCCUGUAGUCC